rnacentral:rRNA from 1 species
AUACGUAGGUGGCAAGCGUUGUCCGGAAUUAUUGGGCGUAAAGCGCGCGCAGGCGGUCCUUUAAGUCUGAUGUGAAAGCCCACGGCUCAACCGUGGAGGGUCAUUGGAAACUGGGGGACUUGAGUGCAGAAGAGGAGAGUGGAAUUCCACGUGUAGCGGUGAAAUGCGUAGAGAUGUGGAGGAACACCAGUGGCGAAGGCGACUCUCUGGUCUGUAACUGACGCUGAGGCGCGAAAGCGUGGGGAGCAAACAGGA